AAUGGAGGAAACUCUGAUGCAGCGACGCCGCGUGAGCGAUGAAGGCCUUCGGGUUGUAAAGCUCUGUGAUAUGGGAAGAUAAUGACGGUACCAUAUCAGAAAGGACCGGCUAACUUCGUGCCAGCAGCCGCGGUAAUACGAGGGGUCCAAGCGUUGUUCGGGAUUACUGGGCGUAAAGCGGGUGUAGGCGGCUAGGCCAGUCGGAUGUGAAAGCCCAGGGCUCAACCCUGGAAGUGCAUCCGAUACUGCCUAGCUUGAAUACUGGAGAGGGAAGUGGAAUUCCUGGUGUAGCGGUGAAAUGCGUAGAUAUCAGGAGGAACAUCGGUGGCGAAGGCGGCUUCCUGGCCAUGUAUUGACGCUCAGACCCGAAAGCGUGGGUAGCAAACAGGAUU
rnacentral:rRNA from 1 species